rnacentral:lncRNA from 1 species
UGGCUACAUUUUCACAACGUCUGGUCCCAAGCUAGAUCUUCGGGAAAAGGGAUCAAGGAAAUGACUAUUCCUCCAAAUAAAAUGCAACAAGAAGAAUGAAAAAACGUAGAAGAGAAAGCCUCGUGAAACUGAGAAGCAUCUGCAACCACAAACUACAAAAUGUAGCUGCUAAACAAAAUGAAAGUUGGAUCAAAGUGGUGGCAAAUAUCAAGAGUGAAUAUACUCCACGGCAGAGUACUGCAAAUGCUGCACAUCUUUCAUGGAUUCUGGUCCACCUCGUCCUCACGCGGGGAUGCAGACUGACAAGCUUCCACCAUGAAGGGUUGUCAUUUGCCAUAGCAGGGAGAGGAAAAUGGAGCAAAUCAGUCACCAGCUCGUCAUACAGAAGAGUGUCCCACGUCAUAUCUGCUGAUAUGUUAUGGCCAAAGUACAUGACUAUCUCCAAGGAGCUGAGAGGUGAAAUUCGGACAUUUGUCUGGACGGAGUAGAACCAAGAGAGUCGUAAACAUCCUGUGGACUACACACCGUUUAACAAGAUGCAACAGUAUUCUGGAUUCCAGUGCUGCAACUAUAUUCAAUAAAUGGGCCUUGUUCAAAUCCUGAGUACAAAUACUGUCUUCUCUUUAACGGAGCUGUUUCAUGCUUCUGCCUUUCUGUAGAAGGAAAACAACGUCCAUUCUCAGGCUUAUCUGAAUCUAGCACCACUUUUCACAAGUUAUUUUUGCUUCAAGCUACUUUAUGUGGUUCUCUAUUAAUUUCCUAUCUCCACCCUCAACAGUAAGGAGAUACUAAAAACUGUCCAUUUGGUUCCGCUUGUGGGAUUUUACUGAUUUUUAAUUUUGCAAUACUGUCUUGCAUAUUUUAAAUCUGCGUAUCUCUAAGAUGACUCUCCAGAGCUGAUGAAUUUUCUCUUCCAUGCUGAUGAGCCAGCCAUGGGAGAGUGGAGGAGUGGGGGAGGAAAGAGUUACUGUCUCGCGAGCUGUGAGUCUGCCUGCCCACAGCGGCGUUUUGGAUGAGACUCAUUAUUUGUGGAAAUGGUGUGUUCCACAGGCAAAAAUAACUUUUUAAAAAAAGAACAUCUCUGCACUCUCCUGAAGUCAUCUCAAAAUGAAUUCAAGAUUUCUCAUGAAAUGGAGAAAGCUUUCUGAUGGCCUGAAUGGUUCCUUGUGUACUUGACCAUGCCACGUUAAAUCUAAUCUAGGUAACAUUAGGGUCCAGAAAAAGCUAAUAGAGGCUUAAUGAUGAGGUAAUGAGCACAGAGGUCAAGGGUAGGAAACAGGUUUUCUAUUUGGAGCCUCAUAGCCAUGGGAAAAUCUCAGUUGAGAACCAGAAAGAAGCAGAAAGGAGCAAUUGAAGUAGAAGAAUAUGCUCCCUUUCCUUUACCUGAUUUUAAAUUAAACAUGAAGGACACCA